GACGAACGCUGGCGGCGUGCUUAACACAUGCAAGUCGAACGGAAAGGCCCCUUUGGGGGUACUCGAGUGGCGAACGGGUGAGUAACACGUGAGUAACCUGCCCUUGACUUCGGGAUAACUUCAGGAAACUGGGGCUAAUACCGGCUAGGAAUCCUUGCUGCAUGGUGGGGGUUGGAAAGCUUCGGCGGUGUUGGAUGGACUCGCGGCGUAUCAGCUAGUUGGUGGGGUAGUGGCUUACCAAGGCUUGGACGGGUAGCCGGCCUGAGAGGGCGACCGGCCACACUGGGACUGAGGGGCGGCCCAGGUGCCUACGGGUGGCAGCAGUGGGGAAUAUUGCACCAUGGGCGGAAGGCUGAUGCAGCAACGCCGCGUGCUGGAAAACGGCCUUCGUGUUGUAGACCGCUUUCAGCAGAAGCGAAGCUUGUGGUGACGGUACCUGCAGAAGAAGCACCGGCUAACUACGUG
rnacentral:rRNA from 1 species